GGCCCCAGGACUCGAUGCCAUCAUAGUUGUCGGUUUUGGCUUGGCUGGCGCCCAUUGCCGCUCGCCACAGGCUUACCAUUGAUGCAGAUACGGAAGUUUGGGGUUGUGGAUGAAGCAAAUGGGAUAAAAAGUGGUCGCGUGGCGUGGGAGAGGUACUUGGCCCUUUUAGGCAGGCAUGAGAGGCUCACAUUCUAAAGAAACAAUUUCAAAUAUGUUGAGCACUUUUGGAAUAGAUUAGCACUUUAUAAUUUUUAGUACUAGUAUUGUUUGUGUAGUUUAAGUCAAAGAUGACCAACACUUAAUAUUGUUUAGUUUGUGUGUUCAAACACGUUACAUUUUUGUGUAAAAUCAUUUGAUGGUUUGAAUAUUAUUCAAAUAGUUGUCAUUUUA